rnacentral:rRNA from 1 species
ACGGGAGGCAGCAGUGAGGAAUAUUGGUCAAUGGACGGAAGUCUGAACCAGCCAUGCCGCGUGCAGGAAUAAGGCCCUAUGGGUCGUAAACUGCUUUUGUGGUGGAGCAAUAAGGCGUACGCGUACGCCGAUGAGAGUACAUCACGAAUAAGCAUCGGCUAACUCCGUGCCAGCAGCCGCGGUAAUACGGAGGAUGCAAGCGUUAUCCGGAUUUAUUGGGUUUAAAGGGUGCGUAGGCUGUUGUGCAAGUCAGCGGUGAAAGCCUGGAGCUCAACUCCGGAACUGCCGUUGAUACUGUACAGCUGGAAUGCGGAUGCCGUGGGAGGAAUGAGUAGUGUAGCGGUGAAAUGCAUAGAUAUUACUCAGAACACCGAUUGCGAAGGCAUCUCACGAAUCCGUUAUUGACGCUGAGGCACGAAAGCGUGGGGAUCAAACAGGAUUAGAUACCCUGGUA